rnacentral:lncRNA from 1 species
GUGAGUCUUAGCUUCUCUCUGCAUCUGUGAGGUCAUCUCCCUUUCUGUAGAGCAUAUGAUCUUUACUGAUGCACCUGCAUCUGGCUCAGACUUAGUCACCCAGCCCUGAAAUUAUAUCAUAUCACAGGUCAUUCUCUGAGUCUCUUAAUGUGAGGCCUUGAGAGAAAAAUCAACAUGCCUUCUGUUGGAUGAAGACCAAUCAGCAAGAUGGUGGUGAUUGUGGUCUGUAACAAUGCAAAAGUCAGAACUGGUUGAAAUGUAAAAUUCAGUCCCCUUUUUAUAGAGUCGUUGCAAGGAUCAAGUGAGUUGAAAUCCGUAAGGUGCUUGGGAGAAUGCCUGGCGCCUGGAAGCACUGUAUAUUCCAAAAAAGGAGAUAUAAACAUGACCAUAAAAGACAUGAAAAGAUGUUUAACCCCAUUAGUCAUCGUGGAAAUGCAAAUGAAAACCACCAUACAGACACUAGAGUGGUUUAAAUUUGAAUGACUUCCAACACCAAAUGCCAGACAGGACAUAGAGCAACUGGAUGUCUCAUGCUCACAGGCAGAAGGGAAAACUACUGUGUGUGACAGGAAGAUGGACUUACCCAACCUUCAGCAUUCUCAAUCUCUUGUCUAUUAACAUGUGUUUGAAACAUUAUGCAUUCAAAGCAAACAUCUGGGAGGAAGAUGGGAGAAGCCUUCUUGCCCCUGUUCUACAGAAGUAAUUGAAGUUCAUGACAUUCAAGCUCAUUCACCAGUAAAUGAAUUUGGGUCAUGCUUUAUGUCUGUUGUAAAUACAGUGAAAAUUUGCCUCUGUU